GAUGACAGUGUGCAUUGGUGAUAAGGACUGGACAUUGACCUUGUGAUGAGAAAACAGAAUGGGGAAUGAAGGCUGUCCCUGGAAAUGCUGGACAGCUGAAGCCACGAUGACAAAGGAGAAGAUUAGAGGCAACUGAGACCUAACCAAGUCACGGACCUGGAAGAUGAAAAGGAGACGUGUAAGAAUGAAAUGGGAAAGAAAGAAGGACGAAGCUGAGCUAUGAGAA
rnacentral:lncRNA from 1 species